CUCUCCUCCUUAUUUCUCUCCUCCUACCCUUGUUUGUCAGAAGAUCCAUUUAUAGAUCUUUUCCUCCAUGCCUCUGCUGUUACCCGAUGCUGUAGAUGUACUGGAGAAAGUCCCAGGUGUCGCUCGGCGUCUCCCAUCAAAAGAUCCAACAAUCCCAAACAAUUACUCUACCGAGGUGGUGUGCAUCGAAAAUAAAGUGGAGCUAUCCUUCCAGGACUGAAAAGAAAGAAAGAAGAUAAAAAGCAAGAUAUUGGCUGCUGAAUGACUGACUGAUUGAUGAGAUCAGCAUCUUUCCAAGGGAUCUGGAUCUGGAUCUGAAGCUAAAAAAUAAAAUAUAAAACGAGGCAGCGAAAGAAAGAGAG
rnacentral:lncRNA from 1 species